rnacentral:rRNA from 1 species
CCCUUAGACGUUCUGGGCCGCACGCGCGCUACACUGACCAGUGCAACAAGCAUUCGUCCUUGGCCGACAGGCUCGGGCAAUCUUUGAACGCUGGUCGUGAUGGGGAUAGACUUUUGCAAUUUUUGGUCUUCAACGAGGAAUUCCUAGUAAACGCAAGUCAUCAACUUGCAUUGAUUACGUCCCUGCCCUUUGUACACACCGCCCGUCGCACCUACCGAUUGAAUGGUCCGGUGAAGCCUCCGGAUUGGCGCGCACCUCGGUGCCGCCGAGAAGUUGGCUAAACCUUACCAUUUAGAGGAAGGUGAAGUCGUAACA